rnacentral:rRNA from 1 species
UACAGAGGGUGCGAGCGUUAAUCGGAAUUACUGGGCGUAAAGCGUGCGUAGACGGUUAUUUAAGUCGGGUGUGAAAGCCCCGGGCUCAACCUGGGAAUUGCAUUCGAGACUGAAUAGCUAGGGUGCGGAAGAGGGAAGCGGAAUUUCCGGUGUAGCGGUGAAAUGCGUAGAUAUCGUAAGGAAGACCAGUGGCGAAGGCGGGUCUCUGGACAGUUCCUGACGCUGAGGCACGAAGGUCAGGGGAGCAAACGGG